rnacentral:rRNA from 1 species
CCCGUACUUGGUGUUACUGCGAAGGGGGGACGGAGAAGGCUAUGUUGGCCGGGCGACGGUUGUCCCGGUUUAAGCGUGUAGGUGUGUGUUCCAGGUAAAUCCGGUUCACUUUAACACUGAGGCGUGAUGACGAGGCGCUACGGUGCUGAAGCAACAAAUGCCCUGCUUCCAGGAAAAGCCUCUAAGCAUCAGGUAACAUCAAAUCGUACCCCAAACCGACACAGGUGGUCAGGUAGAGAAUACCAAGGCGCUUGA